GCAUUUCACGACUAGCUGUAAGGGGUGGUUUCUGCAGGCUCCGGGCUGGGGCACCCCGCAUCCCACUGCCACUAAGGUUGACCCGCAGGGUGCUGGGGCUGGGAGGCGAAAGUUCACCCAGUCAGGGGAGUCCGACCAGUUCCCCGGCAUGGCCUUUGGGAAGGGACGAGGCCUGCCCACGAUCCCCUAAUUUUAUAAACAUCCCAUCCUGGAACCAGCGGGGCCGUGAUUCCUCGGGUUUGUCCUCGAAACCUUAUUCUGGAGUGCCCCAAGGGGUGUGUGACUGGAAUCUGCCUCAGUCAUCGUCAGUUCGGGAAGCCCAGAACCCUCCUGUGCCUCGAGAAGUGACCUUUAAGAAUGCUCACGGAUUUCAGAUCUCGCCACAACGCUUCCACAGGGGGAAUUCUUAAAGUGGUUGGUUAAAUGUAGUUCCAGUGCCGAGAUGACUGAAUAUGGUCUUCCUAAGGUCACUAAUGACCUCAUCCAAGUUAAAAAGGCAGUUUCCAUUGCACAUCUCAGCAGAGUGACUUGGUGAGACUGCUGCUUAACAAGAGCCAUCAAGCAGAUAUGCUUAAUGGAACUGAGAAGGGAGAGACUAAAUGGAAGUAACACAAGGAAACUCCAGAUGUUCGACUGAUCACCAGAUAACCAGUUUAUUUAUGUCACAGUGUGGAGGGGGGAACUAUAUUGCAGAUGAACUAUUUAGUUGCAGAUGAACUUCAGCCUUAAAACCUGUUAACUGGAUUUUCCAGGUUACCCAGAAUACCAGUGUCAUAGCAGUGGACUAACACUAACUCUAUUUACCUGUUUCUGACAUACAAAAAUUUGGGCAUCAUUUUGUCAACUUUAUUAGUGUUUGGGGAGAGGUAGGGUACUCUUGCCUGGAAAAUCCCAUGGACGGAGGAGCCUGGUGGGCUGCAGUCCAUGGGGUCGUGAAGAGUUGGGCACA